CCUGUCAAUCACCCUGUGACCUGUCAAUCACCCUGUGACCUGUCAAUCACCCUGCAGACGUGAGGUUCACAGCCACGAGCAGACGGAACUUUUCCCGUACCAGAACAUAGAUGAACUUGAUGGCGAGCCCAGCCCGUGAAUCUGAGGGGAGUCGAUUACGCAGUGUGGCCAGCUGCAGGAUCUGCUCAGAGGACGUCGGAUUGCUUGAUUCAUUCAUUUGAUUCCAGAUAAGACACAUACACUCUUAUUAACCUACCCGGGUAGUAAUAGUAGACAUUGACAUUGUACACACACAUCUGGAUUUUUCCCCGAAGCUGAACUCUUUUUGCACGUUGAACUUUUCUCACAUUUCCUCUUUAUAGAAGAGCAUUCGAGCUGGGAGUCCAACUCGAAAGGACAAUUUCUUUUGAUUUUGUUUUAUUUUCACAGAACUCUAUUUUUUUAUAUGUUUCUAUGUUUAUACACACAGCACUACUGUAAUGUUUAUUGAUGCUGAUAAAGGCAUUAAAAAGUGUCAACUGUUCAAUCCAA